GUGGACGUUCAGCCUUCAGCUAAGCAGCUUCCUUUGGUUCUAGUGGAUCAUUAAUUAAUGCUUCUGCUGGUUUCAUGGUGUGCAGCUCAGGUUUCAGCUCCUUUAUCAGGUCGACAACUGAGUCCAACACAUCAUGGAGACCAGUUCCAGAAGUCUGGAAUCCAUCCUGGAGGCAGCAAUGCUCAGAUCAGCAGGUGUUGACAGAAACCCGUACCUGGCUGGAGGAUACCUGAUAGGAAGCUCCCUGCUGGGCCUCCUCAUCAUCAUCGGGGUCUUCUGGUACCAUCGCAGCAAUCUCAGCCUUUUUAAAAGAUCCUGCAUCAUGUCCUUCACCUGCCAGGAAAACCGCCUCACGGGUGUUCAAGUCGUCUACAACUCUCUGAUGCUUCUGCUCAUCAUGGAUGCUGUGAAUCUGAUCGUGGGAAUAAUCUUGGGAGCUGCAAUGAUUCAAUUGUCCUGCGAUGUAAUCAACUGUGUUCAUGUAGAAAUCGCAUGGUUCCUGUCCAGGUGGUUUGGAGUGAUUAUUCAUCUUCUGAAUGCCUCAUUGUCCAUCUAUCAUCUGCAUCAGAGUGCAACCUUGGUUCCCAACGUCUACGCAUCGAUUUUUGUACUGAAUGUCAUUGUGGUUUCACUGUAUCUACAUGACACCACAGUGACCCUAUUCAUUUUGGCUGUUUUAAUGUUUCUGUUUGCUCUGGUUGUCAUUGUAACAUCUAUAGUGUCUACUUCGCCCCCGCCUACUGCCACCUUGAAGAAACUGAUCAUGGUUGUUGCCAUGUGCAACUUCCUGGUUGUCUACGCCCCCACUUUCAUUCUUCAGUGCCUCCUUUUCAGCUCACAUGACUAUGACGAGUUAGUGUAUUAUCAAAUUAUUUAUGCGAAUGUUCUGGUUUUCACAAACCUUCACCUCAUUUUCAAUGGAUUUCUGUGCGCUUUAAUCCUGAAGUUGCCUUCUGGAGAAGAACAGGAAGAACAGCAAGAACAGUGGCAACAACAAUGGCAACAACGACAACAACAGUGGCAACAACAACAGCAACAACAGUGGCAACAACAACAGCAACAACAGUUGGGUUUCCCAAAUCCAGGAUACACUGUGUCUACAAAUGUAAAUCAAUAAUGAGCAAAAUUAUGUGUCUGCACCAUAAUAAUCAAUGUGUAUCCCAACCACUGAUAGAUAAUCCAGGAUUGUUUCACUAUUCAUAAUUAUUCCUGUCUUCAUGGACUCUACCUGUUGGACAGAAGGAUGCAGCUCCUACUUCAUUCAUGUAAACCCUGAAAUCAAACAUUAAAAUCACCGUUUCACCCUCUAUGCCUGAUUUAAAAUCCAGUACAAAGCAAGAAGAAAUAUGUGAAUAUUUUCAUAAUGUGCUGACAGCGGAGAGCUGUAUAAAAUGAAGUUGAUGAACUUUUCAAAAUAAAACAUCUGUUCAAUUUGCUUGAUUGUCCAGUUAGUUAAAGGUGGAGGGUACAUCUAAAAUAUGUUAGAAUUCCUGCAAUGUUCAACUGCUUUGGAUGUAAACACCCUCAAAUUAAAGCUGAAAGUCUGCACUUAAAGCACAUUGUGUUAUUUCAAACCUUGGUCAUUUGGUAGAUUAGUAGCUAAGGGGGCGAUUACUUUUUCACAUCGGGUAAGAUGGGAUGGACAGUUUUUUUUCUCUCAACAAAUAAAACUCAGAUUUAGAUUACAGACUAGACUAAUAUGGAGAGAACUCAUCUGUUUAGUGACAUCAGAAUAAACUAUAUCUAACCUUGACCAGAGAACAGAGUCCUGACACAUCUUCCUCCUACAGCGUCUGCCUGUCGGAAGAUAAUUUGGGAUGACGUCAGCCAACAGCUGCAAGGUAAUACCUAAAUGGUAUGGAUGGAUUUAAAUAGAAUCACAAAUUUUCACUGUUGGAAAACAUCUCUGAAAUAUAGUAAAAUCAUCAUCAUCACCAUUUAAAGUACAAUCUGUCUUUUAAAUAACAGCAUAAUUGUAUUGUUUAACAGAAAUAUUAAAUUUAUCUACAAUAUCUGGCUUUGACUGUAGAGAUUUCCAUAAGAAAUUAAGGAAAAUUCAAAGUAACUCACAUUUGUCUUGUCAGGGUGGAGUUCUAACUGUUAAAUAACAGCUUCAUGCUGUAUUUAAACUAAGUGGAAAUUUUAGCUUUUCAAAGUUUUUUAAUGAGUUUUAUUGUUUGUUUUUGGUCUGUGUUUUGUUUGACUAAAUUAAGACUCUAAAGUGUUUAAAAAUGAUUUAUACUUGUUAUAAAAUGAUUAAUUCUUGUCAUGGGAAUUUUGUGUAAAAAAAAGUUAUUUUUGUGCAUUUUAGGAAUGUGUUCUCUUCACAUGAAAAGCACAGAAAGGAAUAUGUACAGUCAAGCCUGAAAUUAUUCAUACUUCUAGCAAAUUUUGACUUCAAGGUAGUUUUUUUUCAAAAAGCAAGGGGUUUUUUGGUUGAAAUUGACACAGGUAUUUCCCAAAAGAUAAUAAGAUGAUGUACAAGAGGUAUCAUUGUGGAAAAAAUAAUUUCUCAGCUUCUAUUUACAUUUAAAAGUAACUUUAAGUCAAAAUUUGCUAGGGGUAUGAAUAAUUUCAAGCUUGAUUGUAUGUAUUUAUAGGUAAAGAUCAGCAUGAAAACAUUUUAUUUAACUCACAGCAGUAGAGUUGCGCCCCCUGCUGGUGUACAGCAACACCACUAGAACUGCAGUACACUGUAGUACUGGAAGAGGUUGUAAUAAUGAUGUCAAUGUAGUUUACAGGUUUAGUUAUGAUACAUUCACUGGUGAUUAUUGAAUAUUGGAAAGGAUGUGUCAUUUCACUAUAUAUUAUAAUUAUGCCUCUGAACAUGUUACAUUUUAAUCUGAGC
ensembl:lncRNA